AGAGUUUGAUCAUGGCUCAGGACGAACGCUGGCGGCGUGCCUAAUACAUGCAAGUAGAACGCUGAAGAGAGGAGCUUGCUCUUCUUGGAUGAGUUGCGAACGGGUGAGUAACGCGUAGGUAACCUGCCUUGUAGCGGGGGAUAACUAUUGGAAACGAUAGCUAAUACCGCAUAACAAUGGAUGACACAUGUCAUUUAUUUGAAAGGGGCAAUUGUUCCACUACAAGAUGGACCUGCGUUGUAUUAGCUAGUAGGUGAGGUAAUGGCUCACCUAGGCGACGAUACAUAGCCGACCUGAGAGGGUGAUCGGCCACACUGGGACUGAGACACGGCCCAGACUCCUACGGGAGGCAGCAGUAGGGAAUCUUCGGCAAUGGGGGCAACCCUGACCGAGCAACGCCGCGUGAGUGAAGAAGGUUUUCGGAUCGUAAAGCUCUGUUGUAAGUCAAGAACGGGUGUGAGAGUGGAAAGUUCACACUGUGACGGUAGCUUACCAGAAAGGGACGGCUAACUACGUGCCAGCAGCCGCGGUAAUACGUAGGUCCCGAGCGUUGUCCGGAUUUAUUGGGCGUAAAGCGAGCGCAGGCGGUUUGAUAAGUCUGAAGUUAAAGGCUGUGGCUCAACCAUAGUUCGCUUUGGAAACUGUCAAACUUGAGUGCAGAAGGGGAGAGUGGAAUUCCAUGUGUAGCGGUGAAAUGCGUAGAUAUAUGGAGGAACACCGGUGGCGAAAGCGGCUCUCUGGUCUGUAACUGACGCUGAGGCUCGAAAGCGUGGGGAGCGAACAGGAUUAGAUACCCUGGUAGUCCACGCCGUAAACGAUGAGUGCUAGGUGUUGGAUCCUUUCCGGGAUUCAGUGCCGCAGCUAACGCAUUAAGCACUCCGCCUGGGGAGUACGACCGCAAGGUUGAAACUCAAAGGAAUUGACGGGGGCCCGCACAAGCGGUGGAGCAUGUGGUUUAAUUCGAAGCAACGCGAAGAACCUUACCAGGUCUUGACAUCCCGAUGCUAUUUCUAGAGAUAGAAAGUUACUUCGGUACAUCGGUGACAGGUGGUGCAUGGUUGUCGUCAGCUCGUGUCGUGAGAUGUUGGGUUAAGUCCCGCAACGAGCGCAACCCCUAUUGUUAGUUGCCAUCAUUCAGUUGGGCACUCUAGCGAGACUGCCGGUAAUAAACCGGAGGAAGGUGGGGAUGACGUCAAAUCAUCAUGCCCCUUAUGACCUGGGCUACACACGUGCUACAAUGGUUGGUACAACGAGUUGCGAGUCGGUGACGGCGAGCUAAUCUCUUAAAGCCAAUCUCAGUUCGGAUUGUAGGCUGCAACUCGCCUACAUGGAGUCGGAAUCGCUAGUAAUCGCGGAUCAGCACGCCGCGGUGAAUACGUUCCCGGGCCUUGUACACACCGCCCGUCACACCACGAGAGUUUGUAACACCCGAAGUCGGUGAGGUAACCUUUUGGAGCCAGCCGCCUAAGGUGGGACAGAUGAUUGGGGUGAAGUCGUAACAAGGUA
rnacentral:rRNA from 1 species